CAGUAGGGAAUCUUCGGCAAUGGGCGCAGGCCUGACCGAGCGAUGCCGCGUGAGGGAAGAAGGCCUUCGGGUCGUAAACCUCUGUCAGGAGGGACGAAAUGUGACGGUACCUCCAGAGGAAGCCACGGCUAACUACGUGCCAGCAGCCGCGGUAACACGUAGGUGGCGAGCGUUAUUCGGAAUCACUGGGCGUAAAGGGUCCGCAGGGGGUCUGCCAAGUCCGGUGUGAAAGCCCGCGGCUCAACCGCGGAAGUGCAUUGGAAACUGGCGGACUCGAGUACAGGAGAGGAGAGCGGAAUUCCCGGUGUAGCGGUGGAAUGCGUAGAUAUCGGGAAGAACACCGAGCAGCGAAGGCAGCUCUCUGGCCUGUCACUGACCCUGAGGGACGAAAGCGUGGGCAGCGAACAGGAUUAGAUACCCUGGUAGUCCACGCCGUAAACGAUGAGUGCUAGGUGUUAGGGGUUUCGAUGCCCUUAGUGCCGAAGUUAACACAUUAAGCACUCCGCCUGGGGAGUACGACCGCAAGGUUGAAACUCAAAGGAAUUGACGGAAU
rnacentral:rRNA from 1 species